GCGCACUUGCUUACCCCGGGCUUCUCCGAAAAUUUUCAAUCUGACGAUGCUAAAGCCCCAAAGCUCGUGCUAUAUUUACCGCCGUUCGUGUUGCAGUUCCGCCGCCUCUCCACGGCGUUUCUGUGUCUAAGAAACGGCCACAUCU
rfam:Spinacia oleracea cultivar SynViroflay scaffold40086.con0004.1, whole genome shotgun sequence.